UAAUUAGCAUUUUCCCCACAUAGAAGAGAAAUUAUGUGUCUGACGCUGUGAGUAUUGGUGUAUGCUAUUUAUAUUAUAUGUGUUGCUGCGCCAAGUGUGUAAAUGUAGCAAUUGUUUGAAAGUUUUCAAUUAUGUAACAUCAAUGCUAAUUUCAGUUAUCCCAUCUUUGGCAUUUCCCAUUAUAUGCUAGCAUUAAGCGAGCUGACUUUGGUUAUUGUAUGGUUUGGUUGAACAUUUUUGUGUUUAAAUAUACAAUGUCUAAUUCUCUUCUGUUUUCUGUGUCAGUUUUACAGCUAACUUCAACUGGCAGUGACAAAUAAACAGCUGGGAGCAAGCACGAUUUGUCUCUGAGCAAGCGAGCAUGGUCUCUGGCUAUCGCAGAUUUUCAACUGUCACAACUUCGUGCUUCUGUGCAAAAGGCUGCUGCCCAUCAACUAUUUUGACCAGCUACGCGGUGACCUCAACUGUCUCAAGAAACAAAGAUGCAACCUGAGCUACAUUUGACAAGAUGACAAGAUCGGAGUUUUGGGUUUGGGGUUGGUUGUUUGCGCAACACACCAAUCGCGACAAGCAUUCAUGUUGAAUGACGUUUCAGGCUGAGCUGAAAGUAUUCUCCAGGUCUUUGGUCACCUCCCAUUGAGACUAUAGCAAGUCCAGCGUCCGGUGAAGAUGAAACAUCAAAUUGCACGUUUUGAAUCAGUGAACUGCCCAUCGCCGGGAUGUCAGCGGCUGACUCAUGCUGGCGGUGCGCGACACACCUGGCCCACAACGCUCACCGACUGUCCAACAGCUGUAAUGUGUCCCUACGACAUUCCGCCGAUGGCUGAACGAUGACAUAUUAAUCAUUAAAUGGCGAAAAGAAAACAAAUGGAAGGGGUUUUCAUUUUUGCUUCAAAAAUUCUGCUGGCAGCUGGAGUUUUAUUUUUUUUUUGAAAGCGCAGGGCUACCACUACAGUCGUCGUAAUGGUAGAAU